AUUCUGCCCAUGCGGGGAAGGACGAGAAGCUUCGACCAAGGUUCGACUYGAGCGYCAGCGAGAGAGCGUUGCCGCAGGCAACGACCCGUAGGGCGAAGCGCGCAGCGCUGAGUAAUCCUUCCCCCACCACCA
rnacentral:sRNA from 1 species